GGCACAGACGAUUCAAAAUGACUAACGACAUCUUUCGUGUGUAGUGCAUGCACGUGUUAUCGUAACUCGACUUGUCAAUACAUGUCGCCGCGCCGUCGGCCGUGAAUUAUUAUUAUUAUGAUUAUUUUUAGACGUCACGAGUGCGAAUAACCAUUGUUGUGACAUGCAACAAUUGUAAAUCAACAACUUUAGUUUCCGCAGUUAGCAAAGAGAAGUCAAGUGUGUUAGUUCGAAGCUGUUCAUUUAAAUAGCAAAUUCAAGAAGGAAUUAUAUUUCAUCCAACCAUCAUGUCAGAAGCAGUACACAGUUGUUUCAGAACACUCUCUGCAAGACUGGUGGAAUAUGAGAAGCAUGUUCGAGAUCUGCAAGAUGAAAUAGCCAGGAAGGAUGAGAGACUGCGACAUUAUGAAGAGGAACUGCUGCGUGCAAGGCGGUUUGAAGCUGAACACGCUGGACCUAGACACAAGGCAAUGGAACGAGCUGUAGAUUUUAGGGCGAAGGAAUGCAACGAAAGGAAACAUGAAAUGGAAUUAGCAGAAAUUGUACAGAAAUUUAAUAACCUGGAGGCGGAAAUUGAUGCUUUGAAGGAAGUUUGGUCAGAAAGGGAAGCAGAAAUGGCGCGGAAAAAUCAUCAACUCCGAUUAUACAAACGGGAAUUGAAGAGAAGCAGGAAUAUGGAAAAUAAAGUACAGGGCGUGUUCAGACUUCUGAGGAACAAAGAAGGAGAGUUUAACGACCUGCAAUCUCAAGUGGCCUUGAAAAGUCGAUUAAUAAAACGACUGGGCGCUGAGCUAAACUCGGCAGCAAGUGAACUGGCACGACGUAAUGAGAUAAACAUCGAACUUGAUGACAAAAUUCAAGCUCUGGAGAAUCAACUUCAGUAUUAUAGGAUGAAGAGUGACAAAGUUGAAAGAGACGAUCAGCUACUUCGGUGUAUUACACGGAUGUUGAAACAAAAUGACGCUUGUAAUAGUUAUCUGGAUUAUGAAGCAAAACAUCAAGAUGGUACGACUAGUGACAAAGUAAUAUUGAUGGAAUCCAGUACUAUAAAUGACAGAAGAGCAUCUUCAGCCGUCAGCGAUCAUGUCAGUGACGACCCAAAUGGUCCACAAGGGGCACACCUGCAACAUAAGAAUUUACUAAUACUUUUGCUGCUGGACAUGUGAAAAAUUAUUCCCUGGAAGAGACUGCCGUUUCUUCUACCGGGGUGUCAAUCAAAGGAAACAGGGAAAGUAAGACAGAAGAGCCUGGAAGCACUGGUACUGGCAAAUCUACAAAAAGAUGGUUGGUCCAACAGUUGAAGAGACAGCAAAAUGUGCAGUCGAAGUGCAGCCAGUCCAUCCAAACCAAUUAUGAAGUACCACUCUUACACCAUAAGUUUCGCUUUUGAGAACAAUCUUUCUAGAAUUAUUUGUGUUCCAAUGCAAAAUUUGCAAGUACCUUUCUUGAUGCCGUUCUAUUUUGUAAUAGGUACAUAGUUUAGUACACAAGUUUUGAUAACAUGCAUUUGUUCUCCUGUCUUCUUGUCAAAUUACCUAAAUCUGGCUCGCUGUGUUGUAUUUAUUAUAAAUUUACUGCUAUGUUACAGGAUGUUUCUAAUGCCAUAUGUAAUUAUAAUUAUGAAUAUAUUUUAAUCAGAAUAAAUUUAUUACCACUAAUGAGG